CCUACGGGGGGCUGCAGUGGGGAAUAUUGGACAAUGGGCGAAAGCCUGAUCCAGCCAUGCCGCGUGUGUGAAGAAGGCCUUCGGGUUGUAAAGCACUUUCAGUGGGGAAGAAAGCCUUGGGGCUAAUACCCUCGAGGAAGGACAUCACCCACAGAAGAAGCACCGGCUAACUCCGUGCCAGCAGCCGCGGUAAUACGGAGGGUGCGAGCGUUAAUCGGAAUUACUGGGCGUAAAGCGCGCGUAGGCGGUCUGAUAAGCCGGUUGUGAAAGCCCCGGGCUCAACCUGGGAACGGCAUCCGGAACUGUCAGGCUAGAGUGCAGGAGAGGAAGGUAGAAUUCCCGGUGUAGCGGUGAAAUGCGUAGAGAUCGGGAGGAAUACCAGUGGCGAAGGCGGCCUUCUGGACUGACACUGACGCUGAGGUGCGAAAGCGUGGGUAGCAAACAGGAUUAGAUCCCCCUGUAGUC
rnacentral:rRNA from 1 species